UGGCGGACGGGUGAGUAAUGUCUGGGAAACUGCCUGAUGGAGGGGAUAACUACUGGAAACGGUAGCUAAUACCGCAUAACGUCGCAAGACCAAAGAGGGGGACCUUCGGGCCUCUUGCCAUCGGAUGUGCCCAGAUGGGAUUAGCUAGUAGGUGGGGUAAGGCUCACCUAGGCGACGAUCCCUAGCUGGUCUGAGAGGAUGACCAGCCACACUGGAACUGAGACACGGUCCAG
rnacentral:rRNA from 1 species